rnacentral:rRNA from 1 species
UUGCUUCUGAUGCUAUUGCACCACAUGUGUUUUUUAUUGAACAAAUUUCUUUGGUGGCGGGAGCAAUCCUACCGCCAGAGGUUAUAACUAAACCAAACUUUUUAUUUACAGUCAAACUUGAUUUAUUAUUACAAUAGUCAAAACUUUCAACAACGGAUCUCUUGGUUCUCGCAUCGAUGAAGAACGCAGCGAAAUGCGAUACGUAAUAUGAAUUGCAGAUAUUCGUGAAUCAUCGAAUCUUUGAACGCACAUUGCGCCCUUUGGUAUUCCAAAGGGCAUGCCUGUUUGAGCGUCAUUUCUCCCUCAAACCCCCGGGUUUGGUGUUGAGCAAUACGCUAGGUUUGUUUGAAAGAAUUUAACGUGGAAACUUAUUUUAAGCGACUUAGGUUUAUCCAAAAACGCUUAUUUUGCUAGGGGCCACCACAAUUUAUUUCAUAACUUUGACCUCAAAUCAGGUAGGACUACCCGCUGAACUUAAGCAUAUCAAAAGCGGAGAAA